UAUGGUUUUGUAAACAGUCUGGCUAAGAAGGAGAGUAAACAAAUGAUGACUUUGAGGCCUCCACAGUAUUUAACAUCUUAAGAAAUGAAAAGGAGAAAGAGAUGGAAAGAUAAUGAAAAGACAGGAGUCUACAGAAUCAUAAUGAAGGAUGAGAAAACACAGCAAACAGCAGCAUAUAUAGGAAUGAUGAAUCAAAUCCUGGCCCAAAUGUUAAAGGAACAUAAGAAGGAUGUAUCUAAGAGCAAAUUGAACAUGGCUUUAGUUAUCAAAGCUUAUGCAGUGGACCUAAGAAAAUACAGUGGAAUGAUGCCAAAGUAAUAAAACCAAUUAAGAAGAGAACACAAGCAUACACAGCAGAGACAUUGAAAAUAAUGAAGAGACAGAAUAACAAUAAGCUGCUGAAUGACAGGACAUCCCAUGAGCUAUCUACAGCAU
rnacentral:lncRNA from 1 species